rnacentral:rRNA from 1 species
AUACGUAGGGGACAAGCGUUGUCCGGAAUGACUGGGCGUAAAGGGCGCGUAGGCGGUCUAUUAAGUCUGAUGUGAAAGGUACCGGCUCAACCGGUGAAGUGCAUUGGAAACUGGUAGACUUGAGUAUUGGAGAGGCAAGUGGAAUUCCUAGUGUAGCGGUGAAAUGCGUAGAUAUUAGGAGGAACACCAGUGGCGAAGGCGGCUUGCUGGACAAAUUCUGACGCUGAGGUGCGAAAGCGUGGGGAGCGAACAGGAUUAGAUACCCUGGUAGUCCACGCCGUAAACGAUGAAUGCUAGGUGUUGGGGAAACUCAGUGCCGCAGUUAACACAAUAAGCAUUCCGCCUGGGGAGUACGACCGCAAGGUUGAAACUCAAAUGAAUUGACGGGG